AUUGAACGCUGGCGGCAGGCCUAACACAUGCAAGUCGAAUGGUAACAGGAAACAGCUUGCUGUUUCGCUGACGAGUGGCGGACGUGUGAGUAAUGUCUGGGAAACUGCCUGAUGGAGGGGGAUAACUACUGGAAACGGUAGCUAAUACCGCAUAACGUCGCAAGACCAAAGAGGGGGAGCUUCGGGCCUCUUGCCAUCAGAUGUGCCCAGAUGGGAUUAGCUAGUAGGUGGGGUAACGGCUCACCUAGGCGACGAUCCCUAGCUGGUCUGAGAGGAUGACCAGCCACACUGGAACUGAGACACGGUCCAGACUCCUACGGGAGGCAGCAGUGGGGAAUAUUGCACAAUGGGCGCAAGCCUGAUGCAGCCAUGCCGCGUGUAUGAAGAAGGCCUUCGGGUUGUAAAGUACUUUCAGCGGGGAGGAAGGGAGUAAAGUUAAUACCUUUGCUCAUUGACGUUACCCGCAGAAGAAGCACCGGCUAACUCCGUG
rnacentral:rRNA from 1 species